UUCUCGGGCAGGAUCAUGCCUGUGUCACUGUCAUGCUUUGGAAAUAACUCCUGCAGAAUUCCUCGACCAGUGCAAAAAAAGAAAAAAAAAACUGGGCGGAACGGCCGGGAGUCAAGAACCAGCUGUGGCUGCAGCGGUAUUGGGCGAGAUGACGCACGGCGGCCCAGCUGCUGGAGACUUCACUGAGGACAGUAGUUAUGCCCACCUAGACAAUAACUACUUCGACGGUGAGCUCCGACCAACACAUACAUGUGAGGUGCUGCUAGCACAGGAGUGGAACGGCCAGUUGCCCAGUCCUUCCCAGUUGGAGCCAGCUGAUCCGGCGUCGUCUCCGCAGGUGGCUCCAGUGCCACCGCCGAUGCAACCACCAUACCUUUCUUCAAAGAAGCGGCCGGGUCCGCUAGGUCACUGCCUCGGAGCGUCGGGCCAAGAAGUAUGCUAUGCUGGGGACAAUCAUUUGUAAACAGAUAUCGAAGCUUUUUAGAACCGCGGGAAUAGCAAAACGAGAAUUUAGUCAUGUUGAAUUAAUCUGAGA
rnacentral:lncRNA from 1 species